UAAGAAUGGUUCUAAUGAACUAUUUAGAGUAUAGUGAAGCUACUUUUGCUUCCCAAUGAGAUCAAACCCUAGGUUUGACAUGAGUAUUGGAGCUAGGGCACCAAAUUGGGGCUUUUGCUCAUGAGGGUUUUUAAGUGCAAUUGACCCUCUAAAAACCUAAUUGGGGGUAUUUCCGACGCAUUGGUGCGCUCGGAUUAACGUUACGAAAAGUCAAAGUAAAGUUAUGAGCAAAAUGGCCUUAUAAGGGUUCGUUUUGCCGCAGGUAAAGAACGAAGCAUCGAAAAAUCCCAAGAAAAUCAUCGAGGCACCUUUGAAAGCCUACAAGGUGGGUGGUGCUUUCCAAACUCAUUGAAAUUCUCUCUAUGCCUAAUGUGUCAUUCUUUGAGCAUACGUUAUAUGUGUUGUUGCAUGCAUUUUAGGGUAAGGUAAUGAAGAGAAUGUGAUGAUGCAUGAUUGUGAGUACAACUUGCAUAAUGUGAUGGUUAAGAACCUUAUGAAAGUUAAAACCCUAUAUGUAUGCAUGAGAGAAAAUGUGAGCACCCAAAGUGAGCAAAAGAACAGAGUGGCACAAUGACAUAGAUCGAGUGGCAUCUAAAUAAUGUAAAGUAAAGUGACACUAGAGUUAGUGUGAAGCAAAGAACUGAAGUGAUAUAAAGAAUAAUGACGAUUACUGAAGCUAAAGCAAAGAGAGCAAUAAAGAACGGAUAAAGAAUAAAGAACGUGUAAAGCUAAAGAAUGUGAUUGCUAGAGUUAGCAAAAGUAAAAGGAAAUGUAAAGAAUGUGAUUGCAUGAGUUUGCAACAUAAAGUGAUGUAAAGAACACUAGAGCAAGUGUAAAGUCAAGAUUGAACUUAUAAAUCCUUUGAGUUAAGGAUAUGAUCAUACUUGCUAUGAGUUCCGUGCUCGAGGGCGGUCGCUCCCCCUCGGGCGAUGCGCUCCGG
rnacentral:lncRNA from 1 species